UUUAACUGAUGAGGAUGAAGAGAAUGAGUAAAUGCAUCAGAUGCUAUUAAAAGACAGGCUGUCUGAACAGCACAUAAAACAAGCAAAGUGGAUGGACUAAGGAAAAAAAAAUUGGAAGAGAAGAAUGGGGUGCCAUUAAAAGAUACAGUUCUGAAAAGUAGGAGGAUGUUCUAAAACAAGCAAAAGGACUGGAUGAGCUGAAACAAAAAAUAUGGAAAAAAAGGAAGGAGGAGGCAAAAGACAAAGAUUUGGGCAGGCAAAGUGUUCUCUUGACAGACGAUUCCAGGAUAACUACUCCCAGGAGAGCGGGAAGUUAUGCAUAUAUAGUAGGACUAGUGGAUCUGGCUGAAAGUACAUUUAGAGAACAUUUCCUGGGCCUUUCUUGGAUUAUCAAACAAAAAAUCAAAUGUCCUUGGAUUAUCAAAAAACUUUCAAAAGACAAGCGCAACCUGCACAAAAAUGU